GAGCAGAUGGCGAAAUUGGUAGACGCAUCACACUCAAAAUGUGACCCUUUUCGGAUGAGGGUUCGAAUCCCUUUCUGCUUA
rnacentral:tRNA from 1 species